GUUCUCAUCGGAUUGAAGCAGUACCGUAAGGAGUUGUGGACUGGUGAGAAGUGAGAAUGUCGGUAUGAGUAGCGAAAAGAAUGGUGAGAAUCCAUUCCACCGAAAGCCUAAGGGUUCCUGAGCAACGAUCGUCGUCUCAGGGUAAGUCGGGACCUAAGCCGAGGCGGAAAAGCGUAGGCGAUGGACAACAGGUUGAAAUUCCUGUACCGGUGUGAAUCGUUUGAUCGAAGGAGUGACACAGUAAGGUAGGUCAGCACGCGAUUGGAAGUGCGUGUUUAAGCAUGUAGGUUGAGUUAUAGGCAAAUCCGUAACUCUAAAAGCUGAGAUGUGAUGACGAGCUGUUUACAGCGAAGUGAUUGAUCCUACACUGUCGAGAAAAGCUUCUAGGUAGAGACACAUCGCCCGUACCAAAACCGACACAGGUAGGCGGGGAGAGAAUCCUAAGGUGCGCGGGAAAACCCUCGUUAAGGAACUCGGCAAAAUGCCUCCGUAACUUCGGGAAAAGGAGGACUCAUGUAGUGUGAAGGGCAGUAACGCGUGGAGCAUGAAUGAGUGGCACAAGAGAGGCGCAAGCGACUGUUUACCACAAACACAGGUGCCUGCUAAAGCGAAAGCUGAUGUAUAGGUGCUGACACCUGCCCGGUGCUGGAAGGUUAAGAGGAGGGGUUAGACUUUGGUCGAAGCUCUGAAUUGAAGCCCCAGUAAACGGCGGCCGUAACUAUAACGGUCCUAAGGUAGCGAAAUUCCUUGUCGGGUAAGUUCCGACCCGCACGAAAGGUGUAACGACUUGCGCACUGUCUCAACGAGGGACCCGGUGAAAUUGAAGUACCUGUGAAGAUGCAGGUUACCCGCGACUGGACAGAAAGACCCCAUGGAGCUUUACUGCAACCUAAGAUUGAACUUAGUUAAUGAAUGUACAGGAUAGGUGGGAGACUUAGAAUCUAGGGCGCCAGUCUUAGAGGAGUCGUUGUUGGGAUACCACCCUUUGAUUAAUUGAUUUCUAACAGGCCGAUUAACAACCGGCUGGACAGUCUUAGGCGGGCAGUUUGACUGGGGCGGUCGCCUCCUAAAGAGUAACGGAGGCGCCCAAAGGUUCCCUCAGAGCGGACGGAAAUCGCUCGAAGAGUGUAAAGGCAGAAGGGAGCUUGACUGCGAGACGGACAGGUCGAGCAGGGACGAAAGUCGGGCUUAGUGAUCCGGUGGUGCCGAGUGGAAGGGCCAUCGCUCAACGGAUAAAAGCUACCCUGGGGAUAACAGGCUAAUCUCUCCCAAGAGUCCAUAUCGACGGGGAGGUUUGGCACCUCGAUGUCGGCUCAUCACAUCCUGGGGCUGAAGUAGGUCCCAAGGGUUCGGCUGUUCGCCGAUUAAAGUGGUACGUGAGCUGGGUUCAGAACGUCGUGAGACAGUUCGGUCCCUAUCCAUCGCGGGCGCAAGAAACUUGAAGGGGGCUGCUCCUAGUACGAGAGGACCGGAGUGGACGAACCGCUGGUGUACCAAUUAUCCUGCCAAGGGUACAGUUGGGUAGCUACGUUCGGGACGGAUAAACGCUGAAAGCAUCUAAGCGUGAAACCAGCCUUGAGAUGAGGUUUCUCAUAGCAUAAGCUAGUAAGAUCCCAUGUAGACGACAUGGUUGAUAGGCCAGGUGUGGAAGAGCUGUGAGGCUUGGAGCUGACUGGUACUAAUAGAUCGAGGGCUUUACUUA
rnacentral:rRNA from 1 species